rnacentral:rRNA from 1 species
GACGAACGCUGGCGGCGUGCUUAACACAUGCAAGUCGAACGGAAAGGCCUGCUUUCCCUUGUGGAUUGCGGGUACUCGAGUGGCGAACGGGUGAGUAACACGUGAGUGAUCUGCCCCCAACUUGGGUAUAAGCCUGGGAAACUGGGUCUAAUUCCCGAUAGGACUUCAGGGUGGUUCCUGUGGUGGAAAACGAUUUUCUAGUGGUUGGGGAUGAGCUCGCGGCCUAUCAGCUUGUUGGUGGGGUAAUGGCCUACCACGGCGGCGACGGGUAGCCGGCCUGAGAGGGUGGACGGCCACAUUGAGACUGAGAAACGGCCCAGACUCCUACGAGAGGCAGCAGUGGGGAAUAUUGGACAAUGGGCGGAAGCCUGAUGCAGCGACGCCGCGUGGGAGAUGACGGCCUUCGGGUUGUAAGCUCCUUUCGACCGCGAGGAAGCCACCUGGUUGGAAGGGUGGUGACGGUAGUGGUAGAAGAAGCACCGGCUAACUACGUG